rnacentral:rRNA from 1 species
UACGGGGGGGGCAAGCGUUGUUCGGAAUUACUGGGCGUAAAGGGCUCGUAGGCGGCCAACUAAGUCGGAUGUGAAAUCCCCAGGCUUAACCUGGGAACUGCAUCCGAUACUGGAUGGCUUGAAUCCGGGAGAGGGAUGCGGAAUUCCAGGUGUAGCGGUGAAAUGCGUAGAUAUCUGGAGGAACACCGGUGGCGAAGGCGGCAUCCUGGACCGGCAUUGACGCUGAGACGCGAAAGCGUGGGGAGCGAACAGG